rnacentral:rRNA from 1 species
AAAAACUCCGGUGGUAUGAGAUGGACCCGCGUCUGAUUAGCUAGUUGGUGAGGUAACGGCCCACCAAGGCGACGAUCAGUAGCCGGCCUGAGAGGGCGACCGGCCACAUUGGGACUGAGACACGGCCCAAACUCCUACGGGAGGCAGCAGUGGGGAAUAUUGCACAAUGGGGGAAACCCUGAUGCAGCGACGCCGCGUGAGUGAAGAAGUAUUUCGGUAUGUAAAGCUCUAUCAGCAGGGAAGAAGAAAGACGGUACCUGACUAAGAAGCCCCGGCUAACUACGUGCCAGCAGCCGCGGUAAUACGUAGGGGGCAAGCGUUAUCCGGAUUUACUGGGUGUAAAGGGAGCGUAGACGGCUGUGCAAGUCUGAAGUGAAAGCCCAGGGCUCAACCCUGGGACUGCUUUGGAAACUGUGGAGCUAGAGUGCUGGAGAGGUAAGUGGAAUUCCUAGUGUAGCGGUGAAAUGCGUAGAUAUUAGGAGGAACACCAGUGGCGAAGGCGGCUUACUGGACAGUAACUGACGUUGAGGCUCGAAAGCGUGGGGAGCAAACAGGAUUAGAUACCCUGGUAGUCCACGCG